rnacentral:misc_RNA from 1 species
GCUCUUUUUUCCAUACUAUGACAAAUACAAAACAGAGUCUCUUGUAAUUUCUCUGUGUAUUGUGCAUGUUUGACUAUGUGGCUUAAGCAUUGAGAUUAUUGCUGCAUCCACAUGGCUUAUGGUAUGAGACCCUGCCCUUUUUACCCAUAAGUAAUAGCAUGUGCUGUGAUUGAUACCUGAAGUUCACAUGAAGAGCUGAGUAUUCAAUUGGUUUAGUUCCAAACCCAACCAAACUAACCAGAAAACCAAAUUCAUUAAAUUGAGAAACCAAACCAAAAUUUUUGGGUUCGGUUUGUCGGUUUGGGUUUGGGCCUGUUUUAUUGGGCCUUUCUAAUGUCUAUAUUCUUCUUAAGCAGUCUAUCAAACACAGUAGAAAUUAAAAAUAUGCAGUAUAAAUUAAGCAAGAGCCUAUAAUUAAGUAAUUAACGAGGCAGAAAUUUGUACAAGUAAAUGAAAAAAAAAAAAUCUGAAAUUUUUUAAAAAGUACCAGCCACGCUAAUCCAAG